AGGCUCUCGCAACGAUGAAGAACGCAGCGAAAUGCGAUACGUAAUGUGAAUUGCAGAAUUCCGUGAAUCAUCGAAUCUUUGAACGCAUAUUGCACCUCUCCGGAGGUAUGCCUGUUUGAGAAUCUAUAGUAUCUUUUCCCCAGUUUUGGGGGAGAUUUGGGGCGUCUCUUUUGGGUGCCCUUAAAGCUAUAGCUUGACACUGGACGAGUGCGAGAGCGUAUGUAUUUGAAACUCUUUGAGUGCCCUAUACGAAACUCUGGCGCGAGCUCGGACUGGGCCAAGUUCACCACGGAGGUUUGAAAAAGAACCCGAACCAUGGUCUCAAAUCAGGUAGGAGGACCCGCUGA
rnacentral:misc_RNA from 1 species